rnacentral:miRNA from 1 species
CUGUUUGUCUUUUUACUGUAAAACCCCUUCGACUACUUUCACAAUUAUCCCUAGUAUUUAUCAAAAUAAUUUGAGAAUUUUUAAAGCAACAUAGCUAGAGUGAUCAAAUAAAUAUAUAUUUAUAGCUCAAUUGUUUUUUAAUAUAUAGCUAUACUGUUUUAGAAAUUUCUAGAUUAUUUUGAUAAAUACUAGGGAUAAUUGUGAAAGUAGUCGAAGGGGUUUUACAGUAAAAAGACAAA